CGCCCAAGCUAAUCCAGUGGUGCUAAGAGUCCUAACCCGGUACAACCGGAUCCCUUCGGGGUGAUGGUGGCCGGUCUAACGCUCGACCCCAUGCUGGUGCGGUUAGCGUAUGAACA
rnacentral:rRNA from 1 species